CCCCUUGUGUAUUUAUACUUUGUUGCUUUGGCGGGCCGCCGCAUGGCUACCGGCUUCGGCUGGUGCGUGCCCGCCAGAGAACCUUCAAACUCUGAAUGCUAGUGUCGUCUGAGUACUAUAUAAUAGUUAAAACUUUCAACAACGGAUCUCUUGGUUCUGGCAUCNAUGAAGAACGCAGCGAAAUGCGAUAAGUAAUGUGAAUUGCAGAAUUCAGUGAAUCAUCGAAUCUUUGAACGCACAUUGCGCCCCUUGGUAUUCCGGGGGGCAUGCCUGUUCGAGCGUCAUUUCAACCCUCAAGCUCUGCUUGGUAUUGGGCCCUGCUGGCAACGGCAGGCCUUAAAAACAGUGGCGGUGCCUUUAGGUCCUGAGCGUAGUACAUUUCUCGCUAUAUGUCCCUGAGGGUUACUGGCCAGCAACCCCAAUUUUUCUAUGGUUGACCUCGGAUCAGGUAGGGAUACCCGCUGAACUUAAGCAUAUCAAUAAGCGGAGGAAAAGAAACCAACAGGGAUUGCCUCAAUAACGGCGAGUGAAGCGGCAUAAGCUCAAAUUUGAAAUCUGGCUCUUUCANGGUCCGAGUUGUAAUUUGUAGAAGAUGUUUCGGGUGUGGCCCCGGUCUAAGUUCCUUGGAACAGGACGUCAUANAGGGUGANAAUCCCGUAUGUGACUGGGUGCCUAUGCCCAUGUGAAACUCUUUCNACNAGUCNAGUUGUUUGGNAAAUGCAGCUCANAAUGNNUGGUAAAUUUCAUCUAA
rnacentral:rRNA from 1 species